UACGUAGGGGGCUAGCGUUGUCCGGAAUCAUUGGGCGUAAAGAGCGUGUAGGCGGCCCGGUAAGUCCGCUGUGAAAGUCAGGGGCUCAACCCUUGAAUGCCGGCGGAUACUGUCGGGCUAGAGUCCGGAAGAGGCGAGUGGAAUUCCCGGUGUAGCGGUGAAAUGCGCAGAUAUCGGGAGGAACACCUAUGGCGAAGGCAGCUCGCUGGGACGGUACUGACGCUGAGACGCGAAAGCGUGGGGAGCAAACAGG
rnacentral:rRNA from 1 species